AUUGAACGCUGGCGGCAUGCCUUACACAUGCAAGUCGAACGGCAGCACGGGUGCUUGCACCUGGUGGCGAGUGGCGAACGGGUGAGUAAUAUAUCGGAACGUACCUUAUUGUGGGGGAUAACGCAGCGAAAGCUGUGCUAAUACCGCAUAAUCCCUAAGGGGGAAAGCGGGGGACCGUAAGGCCUCGCGCAAUUAGAGCGGCCGAUACCUGAUUAGCUAGUUGGUGAGGUAAAGGCUCACCAAGGCAACGAUCAGUAGCUGGUCUGAGAGGACGAUCAGCCACACUGGGACUGAGGCACGGCCCAGACUCCUACGGGAGGCAGCAGUGGGGAAUUUUGGACAAUGGGGGCAACCCUGAUCCAGCAAUGCCGCGUGAGUGAAGAAGGCCUUCGGGUUGUAAAGCUCUUUUGUCAGGGAAGAAACAGCAGCUCUAACACAGUUUGCGAAUGACAGUACCUGAAGAAUAAGCACCGGCUAACUACGUGCCAGCAGCCGCAGUAA
rnacentral:rRNA from 1 species